AACACAACACUCAUACACAUCAGCAGGUGACAAUACACACUCAAACUACAACACAACACUCAUACACAUCAGCAGGUGACAACACACAUUUAAACUACAACACAACACUCAUACACAUCAGCAGGUGACAAUACACACUCAAACUACAACACAACACUCAUACACAUCAGCAGGUGACAACACACAUUUAAACUACAACACAACACUCAUACACAUCAGCAGGUGACAAUACACACUCAAACUACAACACAACACUCAUACACAUCAGCAGGUGA